UAAAAGAAGGUGGUGACUGUAGUGUCAGGUUCGAGAAUCCCAAAUUGUGCUUCCAAAUCGUGCAGGAAGUAGGAAGUUCUCAUCUGCUCCAACAGCUCCUUCUCUGUGGGCAUGGCAUGGAGUCAUGUGAGCUGAGCUGGGCUCUAUAAGUAGAAAUCUCGUCGUCUCUCCUCCUUCUUGGACAAUUCCUCAAAAGGACCAAAGGACCUCCUCCUACAAGGAAGAGGAGCGGUUGGUUUCAACAUACGGGGCAAAGCUCAAAUGACAUCUGCUAUAGGGACUCUCCCUUGAAGACUGGAAAAGGGGCACUGAGACCACCUCAGUAGAACUUUAUGUAGUUGCCACUGGCUGAAGCAUUUAGAGUGUGGAUGUGCCAUUUAUAAGGGCUUUCUCCAGCAUCCCAGAGAAGACUCUCCAGAGCUCCUGCUGAGGUUCACACAGUGAGCACUGCCUGAAGAGUGAGUACACAGUCAGCCUUCAGUGUGUUCAGCCUAGCGGCCUCAACUACAGAUUGAAGUUAUUCAGGAAAAAAAAAAUGUGUUCAUAUU